GAUGAACGCUGGCGGCGUGCCUAAUACAUGCAAGUCGAGCGAACAGACGAGGAGCUUGCUCCUCUGACGUUAGCGGCGGACGGGUGAGUAACACGUGGAUAACCUACCUAUAAGACUGGGAUCACUUCGGGAAACCGGAGCUAAUACCGGAUAAUAUAUUGAACCGCAUGGUUCAAUAGUGAAAGACGGUUUUGCUGUCACUUAUAGAUGGAUCCGCGCCGCAUUAGCUAGUUGGUAAGGUAACGGCUUACCAAGGCAACGAUGCGUAGCCGACCUGAGAGGGUGAUCGGCCACACUGGAACUGAGACACGGUCCAGACUCCUACGGGAGGCAGCAGUAGGGAAUCUUCCGCAAUGGGCGAAAGCUUGACGGAGCAACGCCGCGUGAGUGAUGAAGGUCUUCGGAUCGUAAAACUCUGUUAUUAGGGAAGAACAAAUGUGUAAGUAAAUAUGCACGUCUUGACGGUACCUAAUCAGAAAGCCACGGCUAACUACGUG
rnacentral:rRNA from 1 species